AAAGUUUCAGCUGACAAGGAAAGAUUUUAUGGAAAAUUCAGAUGGGCUUUGCCAAUAAAUGACACAGAUAUGCUGCCUGGCACUUCCAAUUUUCUCCCUUACCUCAACUUUUAACUCUUGUCCUAUGUAUCUGUUUCAAGUUAAACACGUUUUUUCAAACUUUCAAACUGAGGUAUUUCAGCUGUUUGUAUUGCAGCUGUUUCUUAUGUGCAUCCUAUCUUAUGUGUUGUUUGUUUGUUUCAAUGAUUUGUUAAAAUGUACUGGCAUGCUGUUGCUUGGGAAGGCUGUUACUACAGAUCUGUUGCUUUACUACUUCUGUGGAAUUAGCCCAGAUUUAGUCAUUAUGAACCUCAAAACACCUGCAACGUCACCUACUAAGGAGACACUUGUUAGAGUUUGCCAGCCAAGCUCAGAGAAGAGUCUGUAGUGAACGUGUUCAAACACAGGCACACCUGUGGGCAAGCCUUGGUGCUGAUUCCUCUUCCAAUUGACGGGCAAAAGCUGUGAGUUAUAAAAUACAGGGAAACGGGGUUUCCUGUCUUCUUACCAAUUCCUGGGCUCCUGUGCCAGCUGCAGCAAAUAAAGAGGGAAAACAAGGUCAUCUGAGGCAGAGGAUGGAAAUAAGAAGGGGAUGUAAUGAGAGAAGCAGAUAAGGAAGUAAGGUGUGAUGGGUGCUGAGCUGGGAUUUAAGACCAACACUGGUUUUUUGGAAGACUAAAAUCUGGAGCCAAAGGAGUUCUCUGUGUGAGCCUCUUCCUGGAUCAGAGUCCCCACUGUUGCUCAUCAUCUUUUUAAUUAAGGUAACAUCUCCCCUGGUCCCUCAGCUUUACCCCGAAGAGGGGUUCUCUGAGGAUUUCAAUAUGGUUUUAGGAAGAAUAAAUAUUGGAAUUCAACUGUUUGACUUGAAGAUGAAAGUAAGGCUUUAUUUGUAUUCACCUGUCAAAUGCAUUGGAAGUGAAUGAAGUGCGUGCAGACUUUUCAUCUCUAAGAAGGAACCACCGUGAUUAUCUGGUUUCCAUCAUGUAUGUUCUCAAAGUUGCCUGAAGAAUUUCUUCAUCUGGACAGAGGUUCCUGCUGAAGCCAGAGGAUCACUUUUAGUAAUGAAUUGUAUUCUAAAAUUUGCUAGAGACUUCAUGACAUCUCAGCACAUCCCAAAGUGUCUGAUUCUAGUAAUUAAUUACUCGCAGAGGUAGAAAGUGUGCGUUUUAUUUCUAGUGAAUUUAUCUACUCUCGACUUCAGUUGAUGGAUCUUGUACUUUCCUGAUUGAUUUAGAUCUGAACUGCAUCCUGUAUGAUGUACAUAGAAAGCUGAGUAGUCAUUUCUUGACUUCUGCUUGAUCAAUUAGAUAAAUUAUCUUGAUUUGGUAGAUAUCACUCUUAUAAACCUAGAAAAAAUUCAUACUUCUUUCUGAUCCUUUCCCCAUAUUCCACCUUUUUUUUCCUUGAAAAGUAGCCCUCAGAAGUGGGGAUAGCAUUCCAGCAUAGUCACAAUAAUGACAGAAGUAGCAGCAUUGUAUCCUCCUGCAGUACAAAUGAGUUGAGCCACGUCCUUCCCCUGUCAUAACAUGAAGUGAUUAUACGUCAGGAGAGCAACAGUGAAAUAUGAACAAAGGACGAGGUUCUGUUUUUCAGCUUUGCCUGUGGAAGAAUCCGAACUUUUUGUCAAAAUCAGCACUUCAUUACAAGCUAUUGAAGCCAGUUUAAAGCUUCCAUUGAGAGCCAUUCGCUGAGAGCAUGAGUCACUGUCUGUGUGCAGAAUCAUGCAGUGAUUGAUGCGGCCAGCGAAGGGCUGUUAGCAGAGAGCCUUAAAAAAAAGAUGGAAAUGUAGUUUACAUGUUGGGCACAAUUAAUCCCGAGUGUAAUUCUAGCUGAAAUCCUUUAUCAGUCCUGAGUUGGUGGCAAAUUCAAGUUUUAAGCGUGCUGCUGUGAUGCAUCUCUGUCUGUUGCAAUCAAAUGGCAUUUUAAGAAGGACAGAUGCAUCGUCCUGUUUGCUCUGUUGCAGGCAAUAUGCAGUGCCCUCAGUGUGUUCCUGUUGUUGGCUGCUCGCUCCUGAGGCAGCACAGAGACAUCCAAACGUUAAACAAGUCUCUUGAAAGCACUUCGAAACACUUCUGCAAAGCCCUUGCAAUACGUGCAGGGUCUGCAGCACAACUGCAGUUCUGCAGCUCUGCGAGGCUCCAGCCCUUGCUGCUGCCUGCUGAAGUGACCCUUCCCUUGCACAGCUGCAGCACCGUGCUUGGAACGGGCGUCCCUGGGUGCUCUCUGCUCUGUGGGAACGCUGCAGAGUGCAGUGAUACUCCUUCACCUCUCUCAUCUUGCUCCCAGCUACAUCCAUCGUGCACUGCGCUUCCUUCAGCUGCCCUUCUUCCCGUUGGGGAUGCACACUGAUAAUUUACCCACAGGGACUCAUCUGGACCAAGAAUAUUUAGAAAUAUCCGUCAUCCUUUUAAGAAUGUUUCUGAUUCUGGAACGUGAUCCCAUCUAGGCUGGUGGGGAACAGCUGUUUCAAGUAGGGAACUAUCGAGACUGCUUUCCAGUGUUAAGCAGUUCGAGGUUAUAACUCAACAGACUGCAGCUACUGUAGAAGCAGUAAAGCAUAUAAGGAAAAUGGAUAAAAUGAGAACAGAGCUAAGAAUAAAUAGGUCAGGCAGCCUUGAGUACUAGAUGAGGAAUAAAUGAAUUACUGCAUUGUUGGCCAAACUCUCCUGACUGCUUGGACUAGCAGAGGUCAGAGCUGCAAGCUAUAGAAGAUGGCAAAAGACAGCCUCCAUUCAUUAAGCAAUGAAUCUGCUUUAUCUCAGCUUGAACUGUCCCUUACUGUAGGACUGGUUUUCCUCUGAGAGCUGAGGGCCAGAUUAAAGCAAGCAUUUGUUCAUUUGCAUUCCAUUUCUGGUUUGCAUGGAGCAUGCCAGCAUAGAAAAGUGGAUUUGUGAGGACACUCUAGUGCAAGGUAGGGAACAAUCAGGGCAAAGUGAGUCUGGGAAGGAGCUGCUUACCACGGAGUGCUUCCUACAGUACCUGUACUUUGCCUUGGUGGGUGCAGAGCCCUUCUGAGGUCUGUGUCCCCUUCUGAGACAACUGGAGGACCUGGGAGGCAGCUGCAAAAAGCACGGCGCUAUCUCGUGCUUGUGUCUGAUGCAAAAGCACAACUGAGCCAUGAGCAGUGCAAGAGAAUCUUUAUGUGAGGUUCAACAAAUUCUGCUUUAGCUUCCGUGAACACAAACCCUAACCCUGCAGGACAAACGUGGCACUUUGGGUUGGAUUGUUUCGUUAGCAGAAGGACUGAGGUAACAGCUAGACUAGCAGGGCCUAUCUGGGGCUGUGAUGCUUCGGGGAGCAUGGGAAGGGUGGGGUUUUUUUUUCAUGUUUUGUUUUCCUAUAUGCUUUUAUUAACAUGCCUUACUGUGGCUCUCAGGGUACUGCUGCUGGAACAAGAAACUCGUUUCUUUCUGUGGUUUUCCCCCCUUGUUGGGGCCACUCGUGCGUGUUAGUUACUGCCAGUGGUCAUGGUGCAUUACCAGCAUAUGGAUGGUGGGCCUGUGGCCCUAAGAAGUGCUGGCUGGAGGCUGUGACUGCUCCUUCUGAUUCUACUACAUUGGAAUCUGAUGGGUGAAAAGCUGUGAAAUCUAUUUCCCAUCCCCAGACCUCAUAGUUGUGGGACCAACUGUGACUUCUUGUGAGAGGGCUUUAGAAACAAAACAGGAGUACAAAAGAGUUCUGCAAUGUUUAUUUGCUUUGUUGAUUUGCACUGUAUUCACAGGAGGAAAAAAAACAUCCCAGGCUUCUGCUUUAACAGAAUCAGAAUCCCCAAGUGUGCACGAGGUUACUACUAGCAAUUCAGGUUUAUUGCUUUUUUUUUUAGGUCCCUGUGAAUCUCUUAUUUUAAAAUGAAAGAGAAAACAUCCAGACUGCUCCAAAUGACUGCAUUCUUAUGCCGUUGUCCUUUGUCAUUUUCUUUCAUUCUGCACAUUUAUAAAAACGUAACUGCUGUAUGCAGAUUUAUAUUCCAAGUGAAAUGUGUGCCCUGAAUUCUUUACCUUAAUUGGAAAGGUAUCGAUCACUUUCUCUGUUUUCACCGUGGGCCUGAUCCAAAGCUGGAAGAAGAACAUUCCAGCAGUCAUCAGCUCUGGUCUGUGUGUGACAGACACAGGGCUGGCUUUUUGCAGUGGGAACAGUGGAUUUUCCAUUCUGUUAUUUUCCUUUGUAAAAGGACAUGGAGUGAUUUUUAAAAUUAUUUAUACAACUGUAUCCUGAUAAGAUACAACUUCCUCCAGUUUAAACAUAGCUACUGUUUGUUUCUAUAGUAUUCAGCAAUGUUUAUGAGGCUGGGGAAGAGCCGUAACACAGAGCAGUGGAUGCUUUUCAAGAAAUUUCCCCAUUUCUUUUUUUCUGAAAAUGUUUGGUCAGAUUCUGAUCUCGGUUACACCACUAAAUCAGCAGAACUGCCUCAUAGCCACUGGUUGGCCUGAGUUUAAAGCAGCUGCCA